CGGGGCAGGGGCUUCUCAAGCACCCUGCGCUAGGUCUUAGGUUUUUCUUUUGUCUCGUCCUUAUUUUUGUGAAGGCUGAUGGUGCAGAUAGCACCUUUGGAGGUUUGAUUGGUUGUUGGUACCAUGGGUUUGAUUCAGCCUACCUCAAUUAAGUUUUCAGGAGGACAGAGUCUUCAGCCUUACAGGGACCUUGGUUUUUGGAGUCUUAUCUGUGAAGCUGCACAGUGAACAUGAGUAAUACAAGAUUUUGUCUGAAAGUAAUGCCUACAGUUUUUUUAUGGUGGCCUGACACAUCAGAGAUGUGUGCUGUCAUUGUGGACGUGGCAGCUGAACCUUCCAAAAAAUAUUGCGUGUAAUUGAUGGCAACAGAGGUGCAAUGUGACAAAAUAGCAUCUGGUAUGGAAUACGUGUGAAGUAGGAAAGGUGUGGAAGAGCAUUCCUCCAUGCGAGUAACACCUGUUAACCUUUAUAGGCACUUGCUGAGUGUUUAUGGAGUCUGAACUGUGAUGUAUUGGGUGGUGCAAUUCAUUAGUGGUGUCUGCGACAGCAUUUUGCCUUGCACUGGCACAGAUUGUUAUGAGCUUGGUUGGUGAAAAUGUUUAGCUAAUACUGGUGGCUGCGUUGAGAAAUGGUGUUUUAUAACUGAGAAUUUCUUGUCAAAUAUUGUUAUUGUGCUCUUUGUUGUUUUAAUGGAAAUAAAUAUGAAGUGUUACUUUUGGAGCAACCUUUGACCUACGUCAAAAUAACUUAUUCUUCAGUAUUUUUUAGGCAAAAAAAAUGAGUAAUACUUUCCUUGAUGAGUUUUGUUUUUACUUAGUAAUAUAAAUAGGCUUUCUUUAAUAAAUUAGUUGUCUCCACCUAUUCAGAUACAUAUCAAGGGAAUGGAGAUGGGGAGUGGUCUACAUGGAUUUGUAAAGCAGAAACUGCCUGAUGCACCUGGUAGCUUUUAUGGUGGAAUGGAUGCCUUAGGAGACAAGGAUGAGGUGGUUACUGCGGGUUUACAUUGACUUGUACAGGACUUUAAACACUAUCUCCCGUAAGCAGACAGUGAAUUGCCUUGAAAUCUGGCUGAACUGCUGGUUUGUGGUUAGCAGCUCAAAUUCCAGCUGGAGGCUGGUCUGUAGUGGUACACCUGAGGGGUUGUUACUGUGGCCCAUACAACUUUAUAUCUGCUUUAAUGAUCUGAAUGAUGGGAUAUAGUGCACCCUCACCAAGCCCUCAGAUGCUGUGAGCUCAGUGGACUGACUAAUAGACCACAUGGUUGUGCUGCUUUUCAGAGGGACUUUGGCAGUCUGAAGAACUGAGCAAGGAAGAAUUUAUUUAAGUUUAACAACAGCAAGUCCUGUGUCUUGGGAAGAACAACUCCAUGCAUGUGAACACAGUGGUAGAUGAUGCUAUGCAACAGUAGAGCUUGCAGUGUUUGUGGCAAAGGCAGCCAACAGCAUCCUUGGCUGCAGUAGAAGGCUGUGGCCAGAGGAUCACAGGAGCUUAUUUUUCCCUUUAGCUCUGCUCUAGCAAGACUGCAUCUGGAAGUCUGUUUCCUAGACUUGUUCCAGAAAGAUUAAUAAGGUAUUGAAGCACCUGUCAUGCAAGGAGAGACUAGAAGACCUGGGACUAUUUAUAACAGAUGAGACACGAGGAGAUCGGGAUGAGAAUUUAUCAAUACAUAAACACAGGCAAGAAGACUCCAGUAAAGACAAGGCACAUAGUCAUGAAUAAAGGAAGACUUCAACAGUAACAGCAAAAUUAAAGUUAUGUGCCCUCAUGGUGGCUCCUUUUAGGCUGGUGUCCUCACUAAGAAAUCAGACUUCUCUUGGCUGUAAAGCUCCUGGGGACUUGCACAAAUACUUGGCUGUUUUGGUCAAACCAGUCAGUUGAAGAGAAGAACUAGGGAAAAGGAGCACCUUGAAUCUAUUCUCAUUUAAAAAGAAGAAAAAAGUUAACAAAAACUAAGCCAACAACAAGCCAACAAUUGACCCCAAAAGAUUGCCAUUCUAUUCUAGAGGAGCAGAGGUGCCCCAGCAAUAUCAGCAGUACAAGAAGAGUGCUUGUGUAUAACCUAUACAUACCUAAAUUGUUUGCUUCUAUGGUAAUUGUCCUGAAAGUAAUGCAAAAAUUAUUUUAAAAGGGAGCCUUAAACUUUUUUGCAGUUAAAUUCUUCGUAGUUUGAAAAAUACCUUGUUUUUAUUACUUGCUUUUAUUAUCUUUAGAUAGAUAUUUAUUGUUUUUUUGCUUAUAAUAAGCUGUUGAAGCUUGAUGCUAUACUCUUACCUCUACUUGAAAUUCAUCCUUCCAGUUUUCAGCAUUUUAUUGUUAUUGUAACAUAGUUUGUAAGAAGAGGCCCAAGAAUCCUUUUUAGGAGCCACUGUCCUUACCCUGUAGUGAGUGAUGUUCAUGGCAAAGAUCUGUAAACAAUAUUUGGCAGAAGCCAAAAAUAGGUCAAAUGUUGAUGAUUUCCAUUUGAACAGUUGGGAUUUCAUUUUUAGGUAACUCUUAGGUUUCCUAACUGUGAUUAACAAAGAUAAAGACAGAUAAGCAUCUUUUUUUGUUCUUGUAAUUCUAUAUUGAUGACAAAUCACCUUGAAAUCUUUUAGUAUCCCCUGUUUAACUAGCUACCUUGUUUUUAGUCACCUCAAGUACAUGUGAGAAUCAUUAAUACGGAGGCUGUCAUCAAAUAUACAAAUGUUCAUAAAUGCUGCUUUCUGGUGUUUGUGUUUGUAGUGUGGUGUUCAUGCAAGUUUUUUCCUUGUUUAGCAGUUAAGGCCGUACUUGUGGAUCUGUUUUCGGCCAUUACUGACAAUUCCUCUGUUCUAACUUCACAAAAGGUAUCUUUUAUCCAUGAAGGAUAAACAAAACUCUUUCAAAGCAGAAACAUGACAUUUCUGAUAACUUAGGCCCAAAUGUGAGUUUAAUGCAUGAAGAUCAUGGCUGUAGGAAAAGGAGAGGAGUAUGGUUUGUUGUUGUUUUUCCCAGAAUAUCAUCAUUUUUAUUAUUUAUUGUUGCUGAAGUUAGAAAAAUAAGUAAUCUUUUUUUUUUUCAACAAAGAACAAAAAUAUUAUUCUUGCUUGUAGAGGUGUGCCAAAAUGGUUUGUUAGUUAUGGAUGAACAUUAGCAUUUGCUUAAAAACUAAGAAUUCCUCAGCGUUUAUGAUGGUAACAGUGCCAGCAAAAAUACAGACAUGGGAACACAUGCUGUUUGGCUUGGAGGCAAGAAGGAGCUAAUGUUCUGUAAGCAUCUAGAGGGAGAAUAUUAUUAUUUUUCAACCUAGAAAACAUUGGUUAAAGGCAAAUGAGGUGCUAGAUAACAAUGGAUGGUCCUUUGUAAGGCAGCACUGUCCUUGCCACACAAAAAGUAUAGAAAGAUCUCUAGGUAACUUACUCAAAUAAAUAUCAGGUGUUCUUUUCCUUCAAGCACAUAUUGACUUGCAAACCUUUCUCUAAUCUUUCUUAAUCUUUGUCAAUAUUUCCUCUUCAUGCAAUAAAUACCGAGAAGUCAACACAACCGAACUUCAUGUUGAUUUUUGCACCUGUGUUAUUUCUUUGCCAAUUUCACUGAAAUUCGUGUGUAGCUUGAGAACGAUAAAUUAGACUGGCAACGUAAAUCCUAUUAUACAGUUUGUAGUAAUAACUUUAAUGAACAGUUCAGACCUCUGGCUGUAAGCAAAACUCCCCCAGACCUCUUCUAAAGUGUUGAGGAAUAUUAGGUAUUUUUGACCUUUGAUAUGUGUGUUUCUUCCUAGGCUGAAUGUAGCCUUGCUAUGUUACUAACCAAUUGAAGUCUCUAUUUAGUUAUAAUGUAUUAUAUUGCUUCUUGUAAGAUUCUUUAGAUAACUGGUGCACCAGACAAUCAUGAAGCAUCCUGU